rnacentral:sRNA from 1 species
UCUCAUUAAGGGAGUAACUGAUAAGCAAUGAAAAGUAAAUCAUAAGUUUUAAAAA